UACGAAGGGGGCUAGCGUUGCUCGGAAUCACUGGGCGUAAAGGGUGCGUAGGCGGGUCUUUAAGUCAGGGGUGAAAUCCUGGAGCUCAACUCCAGAACUGCCUUUGAUACUGAAGAUCUUGAGUUCGGGAGAGGUGAGUGGAACUGCGAGUGUAGAGGUGAAAUUCGUAGAUAUUCGCAAGAACACCAGUGGCGAAGGCGGCUCACUGGCCCGAGUACUGACGCUGAGGCACGAAAGCGUGGG
rnacentral:rRNA from 1 species